GACUCUGGGGGCAGCAAAUACCUGCAAUGAUGACUGAGUCCGUUCGGGCUGGGCCAAAUUUCAGUGUCAUCUCAUGCUUAUGUUUAUGAACUGCCAGGUGGUCCUCAUUUGUAAAUCUCUGAAAUGAAAUAGAAAUGGAGAUGUGAAAAAAGGCAGGCAUUGCUUCUCCAUUCAGGGCUCUUUAAAAUGGCCGACUAAACAAAAGGACAUUACAGUGACACUGGCCCCUGGAAAAGAAGAGAGAGGAAAAACCAUGGAAACGAUAGAAGAGAUGAAGAAUAAUGGCACUGAAGGCGGGGAAGAGAGGAGGGAAGAUUGCAUCACCAACUGCUUUAUAUCAUCAGGUACAACCAGGAGGAUAGCCUGUUGCUGAGGUGGGGUCUAGGCAUGGAAAUGCAUUAAGGUAAACUUGUAGUAAACAAGGGUGAAACAGUUUCUAAUAAUAACAAAGAGAGGGAAAGGCUGGGCACUCAGUGGUCAUCACAAAAUCAGGAAAUUUCAGAACGAAGCCCUCUGUGGUGGGGCUGAAUUAGAGUAUUUUAUGAGGGGACUAACAGGGAGAUAAAUUAUGCAGGAUUAGGAGAACCAUUUAACUUCCUGGCCCCCACAGUGCUGCAGCAGGCGCCUUUGCGGCUAUUUGGCUCACAGUUUUAAUGAGCCAGGACGGAACUGUAGAUGACAGAAGCCCAAUGGCCAGCAAUAAUAGCAUACACCAGCCCUACUAGCCAAAUGCUGUCUCCCUUCAUCAGGCAGCCUGCCUGGGCUCCUGUAGCCGUAAAGAGGCCAGUACAAUGCUGUUGGCUGUAUAAUGACAAAAUUAAAAAUGCAAGC
rnacentral:lncRNA from 1 species